AUACGGAGGUUGCAAGCGUUAUUCGGAAUCACUGGGCGUAAAGGACGCGUAGGCGGGUUGGCAAGUCGGAUGUGAAAUCCUACAGCUUAACUGUAGAACUGCAUUUGAAACUGCUAACCUAGAGUAUGGGAGGGGGAGAUGGAAUUAGUGGUGUAGGGGUAAAAUCCGUAGAUAUCACUAGGAAUACCGAAAGCGAAGGCGAUCUCCUGGAACAUAACUGACGCUAAGGCGUGAAAGCGUGGGGAGCAAACAGGAUUAGAAACCCUUGUAGUCC
rnacentral:rRNA from 1 species